CUCGAUCCACUCCUGGAUCGGGAGCUGCGACGAGGCUGGGGCUCGGGCACGUUGUACGGGGUGGUCUCGCCGGCGAUGACAGGGCUGAUCGGCCGGAGUUGGAUCGAGAUCCCGGCUGGCACGGCUCAGCUCCAACUCCCUCUUCCACCUCUCCGCUCCCCGACACUCAAAUCUGGUAAAUCUCCUCUUAGUUCAUUGUGCUCUUGGACGAUUACCGGAUUAGUUAUCAAUACUAAUCCUGGUGCUACCUUGGAACUGUAUGGUUGGCUGAUUUAUCUUGUUUGACCGCUGUUCCAGGCUCUUCUGCACACAUCAGUAGCUAUGGAAAGAAAGCUUGUAGUGGAGUGGGUUCCUUUGUAUGAUCUUGGAAGAUGGUCUGUGUUGUUGACUAUGGACUUCAGACCGUUUCUAUUUUCCUCCGUGAACCUACCACUGAUGCUUUGGAGGUGCUUGCUUUGUGUAGAUGACCUCUGAAGCCCAUUAGAAAGCAUGGCAAUGGCUUAAGGUUAGCGCAUUUCGAGAAGCCAACAGAUCGCCGCCUACUUCCUUAGGCUGACAAUCACCUGCGGGAUAAAGUGCGAUGUUUUGCCUGAGGUGAGAACAAAGGUCGUUUCAGAUCCACCUGAACCACCCAAAGUUUUUGUUAAUAAAUUUCUUCAAAUGAGCAGUCCAUCCUAUUAAUUACAAUCCUUUUAGUUCAUUUGAGUAGUAGCUGACUUAGUUGUUUAUGUGCUUAUUAACAAAUGAUUACACUUUUAUUUUGCUUGGCAGGGACAAGAUCUUGCUAUUAAUCAACUUUCUAGAAUAAUUUUUCCUGACCUGAAUUAUGAAAUUUGCUUUGUUAACAUCAUCAUAUAUUGUCACCUAAAAGGUGUAGGCUGAGAUGAUCGUUUUAUUUGCAGACAGGAUCAAGGACUAGGCAACGUGGUCGUCGCGCACGAACCAGUGUAGCCCAUUGGCACUGGUAAAGUUGUAUCGGCGGCUCAGGCACAUGAAGUAAGUUCCUCCGUUUAGGUGUAUUGGUGUUUCUGAACUAGGAGGCACAAUUCAUCUCGUGACCGCUAGCCGUUGUCUUCCCUUCUCCUAAAAUUUGUGACCAAGCGAUUAAACCUGAAAUUGAAGCACGGUCUUUCUCAAGAUUUACCAUGGUGUAAUUUUAUGCUACAGUCAAGCCUUGGAUAGAAAAUAAACAUGUUAUGAAGAUGAUAUAUCCGUUUUAGAAAUACAUAUUGAAGGACUAUAGCAGCUUUUCUUUUUAUGAAAUUUCGUUUUGUUGUUUUUCCAUCUAAAUCCAGUUGCCACCAUGGUAAUUUCUUUUCAGUCCCAACUCCCCUCCUGUCCCCCGCACUUGCUUGCUACGGGUUCUUGUUGUGUGUGUGCUUGUUGGAUUAGUGACAUGUGUGUUUAGGCACGCAUUGUCUUUGCCUGCUAGGGUGUUGGCGCUGCUACUUGGCCGGUUACAGGGAGUAGGAAGCUGAUAGGGUGGUAUUUCUCCCUGGUUAGCCAAGGAGUUCGCACAUCUCUCGGUUCUCUGGGCAUGUCACCAUGAACAAGCAGAGUGGGAGGACGCUCUUCUACUGGUUCUUGGAUGCUCAUGCACAGCCUCUCCUUCUCAAGCUCAAUUGGGAUUUCUUACUUACCUCAUUCUCUUGUUUAUAAUUUUUUUACUUAGUCACUUAUUUCUGGAAAGAUUUUGUAGUUAUUAUCUUGAGCUGCUUGUAGUUCAAUAAUGUUUCAGUUGCUACUUGGGGUGCAUACCUGAAGGAUAAUAAACAUUAUUUUUGUUCUGUGUACAUGCAGGACCAGGUUGCUCAUCAGUUGGAUGUGGAGUUGCGUCUGAGCUAGGACUCUCCCAUGAUCACUACAUAGAAAAAGAUACAUCCAGUUUGGUUUCUAAUGUCUGUUUUUGCCUAAGCAAAAAAGGUAACAAGCUUAUAUUGUCGUAUGGUUCUCAGUUUGUCUUUUCAAACUAUUAGAUUGCCCGGAACAUCUAGGAACGACCUUUUUGUGUCCCCAAUAUUAUCCUAUUUUGUGAAUAAUCUUAUAUUGUUGAUGCUGCAUACAAUCAAAGUAUGUUCUUAUAAUCAUACUUAUGGCUAGCCAAAUUUUAUGGGUCCAACCUUAUACUCAUUAGAUACAACCUUUG
rnacentral:lncRNA from 1 species